GAUGAACGCUGGCGGCGUGCCUAAUACAUGCAAGUCGAGCGAACAGACGAGGAGCUUGCUCCUCUGACGUUAGCGGCGGACGGGUGAGUAACACGUGGAUAACCUACCUAUAAGACUGGGAUAACUUCGGGAAACCGGAGCUAAUACCGGAUAAUAUAUUGAACUGCAUGGUUCAAUAGUUAAAGACGGUUUUGCUGUCACUUAUAGCUGGAUCCGCGCCGCAUUAGCUAGUUGGUAAGGUAACGGCUUACCAAGGCGACGAUGCGUAGCCGACCUGAGAGGGUGAUCGGCCACACUGGAACUGAGACACGGUCCAGAUUCCUACGGGAGGCAGCAGUAGGGAAUCGUCCGCAAUGGGCGAAAGCCUGACGGAGCAACGCCGCGUGAGUGAUGAAGGUCUUCGGAUCGUAAAACUCUGUUAUUAGGGAAGAACAAAUGUGUAAGUAACUAUGCACGUCUUGACGGUACCUAAUCAGAAAGCCACGGCUAACUACGUG
rnacentral:rRNA from 1 species